CACACGGUGUACUCUGUAUAGUUUUGGUCCCCUCAAUGAAGCAGGGUUACUGCAGCAAUGAUCCACUCGAUUGAUUCUGGGAUGAGAGGCUGGCCCACAAGGAGAGGGUCCUAAAACUCACAAACCUAACUAAGGAAGGAUCAGCUGCCCGGGGUAAAGGUGACAGCAGCUCCUCCGGAAACUCCAAACCCAGUCCAAAGCAAAAAGUGAACGGAAGUUGCUCCGAAGUCAUUCCACACUCUGAAAUCAACUGACUGCAAGUUUUCCUCGAAGUCCACCCGAAAUAUAGCGCAAGAGCCAUCGACUGCUUCCCCGACCAGUGCUGAGAAACCAAACGUAUAACCCAGACGCCAUUUCAAAGACUCCACCACCUGUCCCUCUUCCCUUGA